UUCAAUGUCACGUCAACUCACCUAUGAAUAUAAUUAUGUUUGUGGAUUGAUUCAAUUGCCAGGACAGUUUCUCCAACGUAAAACCUGGCCUCAUCUUCAGUUAAUAUAUCCUUCCGCAUCAGUAACGUCAUCAUAUCCCCCCCAGAUUCUAACCUGUGAUGAGAAGAUGCGAAGUUAAAAGUUAUUAUCGUAAAAUUCAUUCUUAUGAGUUUUAUAAACUCAGAAAAAGGUGAGUCACAAGAGAGAGUUAACAGUACAUCCAAAGAAUCCACCAGCUUUAGUAACUUGCAACUAUUCAACAAAUACAGUACAUAUGUAGGAGCCUGUCCUUCCAGAA